rnacentral:snRNA from 1 species
AUGCUUACCUGGCAGGGGAGACUCUGAUCAAGAAGGGUUUUCCCAGGUCAAGGUUCACACAUUGCUCUUAGUGUGUAUUAACCCUUGUGUUUCCUCCAAAGGCAAAUUAGUUUCUAUAACCCGCAGUAGUGGGAGACUGCAUCCACUCUUU